rnacentral:rRNA from 1 species
CCUACGGGUGGCAGCAGUGGGGAAUAUUGCACAAUGGGGGGAACCCUGAUGCGGCGACGCCGCGUGAGUGAAGAAGUAUCUCGGUACGUAAAGCUCUAUCAGCAGGGAAGAAAAUGACGGUACCUGACUAAGAAGCCCCGGCUAACUAUGUGCCAGCAGCCGCGGUAAUACGUAGGGGGCACGCGUUAUCCGGAUUUACUGGGUGGAAAGGGAGCGUAGACGGCACUGCAAGUCCGGAGUGAAAGCCCAAGGCUUAACCAUGGGACUGCUCUGGAAACUGGGAAGCUUGAGUGCGGGAGGGGCAGGCGGAAUUCCUAGUGUAGCGGUGAAAUGCGUAGAUAGUAGGAGGAACACCGGCGGCGAAGGCGGCUAGCUGGACCGUAACUGACGUUGAGGCUCGAAAGCGUGGGGAGCAAACAGGAUUAGAUACCCGGGUAGUC